GGCGGGCGGGAAUUACGUCAGGAGGGCGCCGCCUGCUGAGGUACCUGUGCUGCGCGCUGAGGUACCCGCCCUGCCCGAGCCUCGACCCUGCCCACAGAGCAGUGCCCGAGCCGGCUGCCGCACGCCGGGCUCUCUUGAGGGAGCGGCUCGGGGUUUGGGGCUGGGGGACGUCCCUCGGUGGCCGCUGGUGACGGGAGGAGCUGAGAAAGGGCCGUCAGGUGCCCGCCAGGAACACGAAUUGUUUGGAAGAGCUUAAGAUUGUGCAGGGAAGAUGUUUCCUUUAAAAGAUACUGAGAUGGGUGCCUCCACUUUCUUUGCCUCAGCUCUUCCACAUGAUGUUUGUGGAAGUAAUGGCCUUCCUCUGACACCCAACUCCAUCAAAAUUUUAGGGAGAUUUCAAAUCCUUAAAACAAUCACCCAUCCCAGGCUUUGCCAGUAUGUUGAUAUUACCAGAGGUAAACACGAGAGACUGGUGGUGGCUGCUGAACACUGUGAAAAUAGUCUGGAAGAUUUGCUGCGAGAGAGAAAACCAGUUAGUUCCUCAAGAAUUUUAUGCAUUGCAUAUGAGGUUUUGCAAGGUUUGCAAUAUAUGAACAAACAUGGAAUGGUCCACCGAGCACUCUCCCCUCGCAAUAUUCUUUUGGAUCGAAAGGGACACGUCAAGUUGGCCAAAUUUGGACUCUACCAUAUGACUGCUCAGGGUGUUGAUGUUGAUUUUCCUGUCGGGUACCCAUCUUAUCUGGCACCUGAAGUAAUUGCACAGGGAAUAGUCAAACCAAGUGAUCAUACUCAGUGUGAGAAGCCUCUGCCUUCUGGCCCUAAAUCAGAUCUCUGGUCUCUUGGCAUAAUACUAUUUGAACUUUGUGUGGGGAGAAAAUUGUUCCAGACUUUGAAGAUAGCAGAAAUAUUAAAAUUUGUAAUUACAUUAGGCUGCGUAGAUGAUAUUGUAACUGUAUUAGCUGAAGAACACGGUUGCCUUGAUAUUAUUAAGGAUCUUUCUGAAAAUAUCAUGACGCUGCUGAAAAAAUGCCUUACAUUCCAACCUUCUAAGAGGCCAACUCCAGAGGAACUGAUGCAUGACAGUUUGUUCAGUGAAGUGUCUUUGGCAUACCCUCCCUUUCACAAACCUGCUGGACUGUUCUCAUCCUCUCCAAGGUGUGCUAACUUAACGCUACCUGAAGACAUAAGUCAGUUAUGCAAAGAUGAAGAUAAUGAUUACCUAGCAGAAAGAUCAAUUGAAGAGGUUUAUUAUCUCUGGUGUCUGGCUGGAGGAGACUUAGAGAAAGAACUUGUCAACAAGGAAAUAAUUCGAUCAAAACCACCUGUCUGCACACUUCCCAACUUUGUGUUAGAAGAUGGUGAAAGCUUUGGGCAAGGACGAGAUAGAAGUUCCCUUCUAGAUGACACAACUGUGACUUUGUCUCUGUGCCAGCUCCGAAAUAGACUGAAAGAUGUCGGUGGGGAAGCAUUUUAUCCAUUACUUGAAGACGACCAGUCAACUUUACCUCAUUCAAAUAGUAGUAGUGAGCUGUCUGCCGCUGCCAAUCUACCUCUGAUCAUCCGGGAGAGGGACACAGAGUAUCAGCUAAACAGAAUUGUUCUGUUUGACAGGCUGUUGAAGGCCUACCCAUACAAGAAAAACCAAAUCUGGAAAGAAGCUAGAGUUGAUAUCCCUCCUCUCCUGAGAGGCAUAACCUGGGCUGCUUUGUUGGGUGUUGAGGGUGCCAUUCAAGCAAAAUAUGAUGCCAUUGAUAAAGACACACCGAUUCCUACAGACAGACAAAUUGAAGUUGAUAUUCCUCGUUGCCAUCAGUAUGAUGAAUUGCUGUCAUCACCAGAGGGUCAUGCAAAGUUUAGACGUGUAUUGAAGGCCUGGGUUGUUUCUCAUCCUGAUUUGGUAUACUGGCAAGGUCUUGAUUCCCUUUGUGCACCAUUCCUAUACUUGAAUUUUAACAAUGAAGCUCUGGCAUAUGCCUGCAUGUCUGCUUUUAUACCCAAGUAUUUGUAUAACUUCUUUCUGAAGGAUAAUUCUCACGUUAUCCAAGAGUACCUAACGGUGUUUUCUCAGAUGAUUGCAUUCCAUGAUCCAGAGCUGAGCAACCACCUUAAUGAAAUUGGUUUUAUUCCUGAUCUCUAUGCUAUUCCAUGGUUUCUUACGAUGUUUACACAUGUCUUUCCUUUGCAUAAAAUUUUUCACUUGUGGGAUACAUUACUGCUUGGAAAUUCCUCCUUCCCAUUCUGCAUAGGGGUGGCUAUACUUCAACAACUGAGGGAUCGUCUUCUUGCAAAUGGAUUCAACGAAUGCAUUCUCCUUUUUUCAGACUUACCAGAGAUUGACAUUGAGCGUUGCGUUCGUGAGUCAAUCAACCUGUUUCGCUGGACCCCGAAGAGUGCUACAUACAGGCAAUAUGCACAGCCUCCUCGACAAGCCAAUGAGAGCAAUGGCACAAGAAGUUCAAUGUCCUGCUUUUCUGUAGAUUAUCAGGAAUCACCUAGAGGCGACCUGUCUAGGGAUUCUAUCAAGUUGGAUGACCUGAAGGCAGAGGUGUCACCACGGAUUUCAGCAGAAGAUCUGAUUGAUCUUUGUGAAUUGACAGGACCCAGUCAUUCCAAAACACCUAUAAAGAAAACGAAGUCUAGCAAGCCAAAGUUGCUGGUGGUGGACAUCCGUAACAGCGAAGACUUUAACCGUGGCCACAUCUCUGGCAGCAUCAACGUCCCAUUUGCAUCAGCAUUUACUGCAGAAGGGGAUCUCAUCCAGUGCCCAGCAACUGCCACACUCCAGAGCUUUAAAGGAAGAGUUGUGGUGAUUGUAGGAAAUGCAGUGAAGAACAUGGCUGCUUUUGCAGCUCAUCUAGUGAAGAACAAGUACCCACGGGUCUGCAUCCUAGAUGGAGGAAUCAACAAGAUCAAGCCAACUGGUCUCCUCACUGUUCCUUCUCCACAAAUAUAAGUGACUGUAAAUGUUCAGGAUGAUCUGUCUGAAUAGGUACUCAGAAAAGGACUGUAAGCCCAAAGAAUAGAAUGCCUUUAAGAAAAUAGGAUUUUUUUGUGUCCCCAGCUCCUCUUUCCUUUAGUAAGAAAGGUAGGAAGCAUUCAGUAUCUCCUGCAGCUAAUAUUUAGAGUGAGAAGCCAAGUUAUCUUCUGAGUAAAAUAUACUUCAGCAGAUUCAGCACUUCCUUUUUGACUAAUACAUGUUUUUAUUAUUUAAAUAUUGAACAUUAUAGAUUUCAUCCAUAAUACCGUUCAGUUUCAGCUUUGAAUUUAGUUAAGUAAGAUUCGAGUCUUAUAUAUUCCAUUUGUGUAUGGAUAUAUUUUUGACACAGAACUUAAAAGCUGCCAUUAAGAAAGAGAUCGUGUUAUAAAGUGAUGUUUAUAUGCAUUUCUCUGGAGAAGUUGUGAGAGGAUGGGUGAAAAAGCAGUAAAUGUCAAGAACUGCUAUACAACACUGACUUUCCCACGUAAAUAGAACUACCUGGGAAGUUCUGUAGCUAACAGUUGCAGAAGUGCCAGUUGCUGGUAUACCUAUACUUACCACUUCAGUCAGCAUUUUUGAAACUGUGCCUAUAAAUCAGCACACCAUGUCUGGAUUCAAUUACAUUAGACAAAUACUCAGUUACAAAAAUAGCUUUGAACUCCUUAACCAUAGAAAAGGGAUACUCUUGCAUUUUGUUGUAAUUUCUCGUUAGAUAAUUUAUCUUGGUUUUGUGGUGGUUCUGCAGUUUAAGAAAUGAGCAUCAAGACACGUUUACUCUGUUAUUCUGCCAAUUUUGGCAGUACUCUGGUGGAACAAGCAGUUGUCAGUUUUCAUAGAACUCUUGGGAGAUUUCUGGAGGCCAGGUUAUUUUAUCACGCUUCUUUCUGGUAGCAUUGUUUGUCCAACAAUGCAAUGCUCAUUCUUUGUUUUAGACUACAGCUGUAUACCAGGGAGAUCUAGUAGGAGCAAAUAACUACCAUUCUUCUGAGCUGAUGUUUUCUGCUGCUAGAAGAAAAAUAUCUCAGCUAAAUAUUUCCCACUGUUUGGACUGGAAAAAUGCAAUGUUUCCCAAACUGUUUUUUGUCCUACAGUUUUGAAGACAUACUGAAGCUGCCCCAGCCACCUGUGCCUGUAGUUUCCUGCCGGGGCAGCUGAGCUCCCCACAGAACAUUCAGGUGCGCAUCUAGGGACGACAGAGCAAAGGAGAUGAAACCUUCCUUUCUCAGUCUUGCAUCUGUUGGUCACUGUAGGCAGUUAAAUAAUUGCUGUUAAACUAGAGUGUCCUUUGAGAAUGUUAUUAGACUUUGUUUCUAUGUCAUUGGUUUUUGUUCUUUUUAAAGUAGAUAAUUGUUAUUUUUAAACGUUAGCAUGUUUUCCAUUUUAGAUUUGUAUUCUCCUUGUUGACAAUAUAGAGUAUUUCAUAGACAGUCUUUCUAAUAUUUCUGACACAGAAAUUAUAACCACAGCAGCUAAGCACAUACAAGUACGUAUUCUUUUACUUAUUUCUUGUUCUGAUCUCCUGAAUUAUUUGUAUGAGUGUGAUGAGCUCACUUAUUUGUUGGAAUGGGCAAAGAGUUAAUUUUAAUCAACAUCCUUUCCUUGUGUCUUUUUCCAGGCUUUAAGCUAUCAUUGUAUUGUGCAGGCGUAAUACAAUGGUGCAGUGUCUUUUCUGUGACCUUCUGGAUGCAGUUGAGUAUUUCCUGAGUUUUUUAGAUCUGCCAUCCCUUCUUUAUGAGUAUUACCUUUCAUGUGAGGACUUGACUUCUCCCACCUUUGUUGUCUUCCUAAGAGCCUACUCUAGGUGUGCUGGUGAUCAGGUUCUUAUGAGACAGUUGUAUGUUACAGUCAGUUAGCGAGGCUUCUCUUGCUGCUUUAUUCAGCAGAGGAAGAUGGAUAUUAGAACAUCUCUUAGCUGGAAUUCAGAGCUGCAUCACACACAGUUCAAAUAACAGUUCAGAAAGGUAGUGUGUGAGAGCCUGUUAGUUUUGUGGCCGGAGACAUACUUACUGUUCCUGUUUGCAGGGCAUUGAUGUUGUCCAGAAUAUCCAUUCUGGAGAUUUAAUUUGUUUAUUACUUUGCAAUACUUGAUGGUUUGGGUAGUGUGUUAGGCUUUCUUCUUUUAAAAUGAAAGCUAUCUCUUUCUUUAGCUUUCUCAGUGUUGAUAUUUUGCUUUUUUGAUCUGGGAAUUGCAUGGGGAUAAGGGUGGCCGUUUCUAGUGACUCCUGUUUCUAGUUAUCGUUUCUUUGAUGAAGACUCAUACUGGUCUCUCUCAGUGUUAUGUUGGAAGCUUAAUCACUGUCAUUAGUCAUCUUGCUAUUGUUGAUUCCUUAUCCUGGCCGAACUUGCAAAGGUUGACUGAAAGAAUUAUUAUUCCUCCCAUAAAAGUGUUUCUUUCCAAGGCAAGUAGUGAAACUUGAUGCACUGCAUGCAAAGGAGCAGGAACUACAGGCAGUCAGCACGAGGUGAGGAAAGUCUAUGUGUGUGGCACCAGGUGUGAAAUCAAGGCACAGGCCUUGACUACGCUGGAGUGCGCACUGUGGGGAGAUGCCUGGUGCUGUCUCCUUUCCAUCCAGCUCCACGCACAAGGGUGGACAUCCCCUCCCUAACCCCUGGCUUGCAUGAAACUUGAACUGCACUGGCUGAGCAAGCACCAGAUUUUUGUAUUCGACUGGCUAAACUAUAGACUUUCCUUUUUGUUUGAAUCCCAAGCUAUAAUGCUAGUAUUGUCAUUCUUUUAAAUUUCCAGUCUUGGUAAAGAUGUGAUGCCAGAAAACGUGUUCUGCUUUGGAAGUAGUGUUUCAUCUGCCUUUCAAGUAACCAUGAGAUUUAAAGAUUGCUAAUGGUAGUACCUUUUAAGCUAUCUCACUAAAUUACCUGUUGGACAACCGUCCGCAUUCUUUGACAACAGCAUCUGUAUUCUGUGAAGUUAUGUUCAAAAAUACAUCUUAUACUACCAUCAUCAUGUGGAGCAUAAUUCAGUAUUUCACUGUGGCUGUCUUGUUUUAUCAGCAUUUAAUGGAACACCGUUACACAGAGUUUAAAGAGAAACUGGUUGAAAAAAAAAAUAAAAUCAAGAGUAUUAUUACCAUUAGAUACAUUUCUAAUUAGUUCUUGUAAAGCUUUCUCCAAGAUCGUGUUUAACCAUAGUGUAAAUCAAUGUUCAAGUUAACCUCUGGUAGUUGUCUUGCAUGUGAUGAUAGAGUGACACCAGUGCACGCACUGUUGUAAUUUUUUUUUUUUGUCCUAGUGAUAAUUCAUCAAGUGCUCUAGAAGCUGUAUCCCAUAACAUAUAGAUACUAAGAGAGUUUCCAGACACAGUAAUCUGUGUGAAAGAGCAGACACAGUAGAGCAACCCAGUGAUCAGCGUGGUAGUCAUUGUUUUUAAUGGAAUAACCCAGAGAAAAGUUGUAGAUCACUGUUUUGUUUAAUACUUCCUAACUAAAGCAGCAUUAAAUUUUUCUCUUCUUUGGCAGUCUAAGGUUAUCUGGCAUUAUAUCACUUUAAGGAGUUGUAGCAUCUGGCGUUAUCAGCUCUUCCCGCUCAGCUGGCCGAGGAAGUAAAGUCCUGUGAGUACAGAGCAGAAAUAGGUGACAUCAGUUGCAGCAUGUUAGAAGGGAUCUUGGCAAAUCUCUUCAAUAUGACGUGUCCUCAGUGUAGGACCAGUUCAGAGUUCUGUGGCUGUAGAUCUUCAGGAAUUGAAACAUUCCCGUCCCAGACCUGAAAAGACACUGCAUUUAUAAAAGAGGAGAGAGCAGAAACAAUCAAAAAGGAAAAUGGAGAAACACCACCCGCCAGCAGCCUGAGUAGUAUUCACACAACCCCCGGAACUGCUCUCAUUCAAAUAACACGUCCCGCUUGCGAGCAGUUACUGUCAGAGAGAGGAGGAGCCCGUCUUGGCUGUAGCUGCUGAGCUGCAGUCUACAGCUAGGUAAUGUUUUGUUUCAGGGGCCUGCUCUGUGGGAGGUAGUGCUUGUGCAGAGGCUGUCUUUGCUCUUGGCUUUAGCAGUAGCGUAGCCUCCAAGGAAAAAAAUUAUCUCAUUAGCUCUUGGCGAGGAGAUGGUGUACAGCCAGAGCAGUCCACAUGUGCACAGCGUGGUCUUCGUCUCACUAUACAAUUUGUAAUUGCUGAUUGCUUUUUGGCUGUUGUUGAAAGCCUGCCUGUCAAUCCCCAGCUAGAGUGCAAAACAGUAAGUUAUCAUCCUCCCUCAUCUCCAGUCUAGUUCAGCAUGAGCUCUACAAAAGAGACUGUAAAGUCUCACUGCAAGAGAGGUUCAUAACCUUUGGUCAUAUACAGAUCUCCAAAAAUAUAAAUUAAAUUGCCAAAGGAUCAUCCCGAAGUGAGAUUUUGUGUAUGAGUGCAUACAUACUUAAUGCGUUUCAGAAAUGCUUUUUCCUCUCACUUUUUUUUUUUUUUUCGGCCAGUGUGUUUUAAAGACCUUUCUUUCCUUCUGUUUGUUUUCUUUGGGUUUUGUUUUUGUUUUUUUAAUGCUAUAACCAUGGAGCUUGGGAAGUGGGGGGUUUUCUCAUACCUAGAUUGGUUCAUCUUAUGUAGUGAUGUUCUUACAAUCCACUAGUAACAGUUAUCCAGGCAUGCUUUAAAAAAUUUAUAAGAAAAAUGUACUUGGAGCAAAAACUGUUUUUUAUUUUACCUUUAGAAAGAGAAGUAUUAAGGAAAUUGAAAUUAUUAUAAAAUAAUUUCACCGAGAUGGUUAAAAGCUUGGAAAGCUCAAAUCAGUGAAAACAAACGAGUAUGCAGAAGAGAGGUAAUAAAGUAUAACAGAUAUUAUAUCCAGAUUUGUCAGUGGGUCAGUCAAAAUUGUGAAAUUUGGAAAAGAAUUAUCAUUCAGAGUGCUUAGCCCCAGCCCUGGUUCCUUCUCAAGCCUGUCCUGUAAGCUCGUGGUUUUCAUAUCCAUACAUAGUCUCUCUUUAUUUGCCUCCAGUGCUGUCUUCCUAGGUGUGUGUGUGGUCCUGAAAGCAGAAACAGCGCUUAUAGAAAGUGUGCACAAUACAUUGUGUUAUCUGUUAUUUCAAGUGGUAACUAAUUUUUUUUUUUUUUGACAAGUACAUACUUCCAAAUAUAAUGACAUUACAAUUAACUGUAAAUGGCAAAUUCUCUGAAAUCAGAUUUGAAACUCUCAUGCAGGAGAAGGAAGGAAGGAGAAUCCAGAGUUCAUAUUUCCUGCAUUUCUUCAGGAUUAUCUCUUCAAAACUGGGAAUCUGUGUCUUGAACAAACUGAAGAGUGUGAACCUGCUGAUCUCUGAUAUACUGGCGUCCUUGCCAGACCAGAAAGUAAGACCUACAGGUAGAUAUGGCCUCUUUGUGAAAUCUUGAGCCACAGCCAUGCGUGAAUGAGGCGUGCUUUUCCUUCGGGGAGCCAGCAGCCUAGAUUCUCAGAAACCAUUCAGAGUAUGCCGUGCAGCACAUUUCAUGCAAGAGAAAAGAUUAUCAGAUACAUACUUGUGCCUGCGUGGACAAUCGCUUAACGUGACAAAGGUACCGUAGCACACUCUGCAUGUGGAUAUUCUGAGAAAUAAGCAAUGUAUUUGUUAUAACGUAGGAGAUUCUUUCUUUCCGAUUCUUUGUCUCCAUUUUUGCAACCAUCAGCUAUUUCAUUUACUAUUUAUUAGGUGUAUUGCAAAUGGCAGCAUUUUGUUGUUUUGUCAGGCCUAGGGUUUUUCUUUUUGCUCAGAUUUCAUAUUCUGCUGUUUCCCUUACUGUCUUUGGGACUCAUAUCCAGCUCCUGAGCAAGACUUCAGUAUUCUCCAGCGGGAGUGUACUCAGCUUGGAGUUGAAAGCCAGAUGCUAACUAGGAACAUGGGAGAUGCAGGUCUUCAGUUUUCACCUAUGCCUCAUAUUCUGUUUCCCACUAUGCAAGUUAUCGCCUCUCUUCUCUUUUCCUUUACCACCUCCGGUAUAAAUGUUACUCUUACUUAGCCUAUGACCAGGUUUGAUAAUUUCUUUGCAGAAACUUUCUCUUGAAAUUGAGUGUAGGAAAGCUUCUGACACUAGCGAAGCAAACUUGAUAGUGAAUAGCUGCAAAAAUGUUUAUUUCUACAGUAUUUCUAAGUGAGUAUUUUGAUCUGCUGUUGAAAAAUUGGAGGAAACGGAUGGUCCUACACAACAAAGAUAAUUAUGCAUUGUGAUUAGAACCAAGUUGGUCACUGUCUCCUGUUGGUAAAUGCUUCUGCCAGGUUCAGCAACAUCGAUUUGGAGGAUAGAAGGGAAAUGAAGCAUUCCUAACUGGGAUUUUUGUGGAUAUGUCUAAUUCCCUGUGUUUCUUGCUAGUAUUCAUUGUAAUUAAAAAUUUGUAGGAAAAAACUGUUUGAAUCCAAUCUGCCCCUAUAAGAAUACUAGGAGAUGAGACUCUGAAGCUGGUAAUAAAUAACAUUGUUUUUUUCUAGAAAACUCAAGACUGAACCGUUGGAAAAAGCUUGACUGUGCUCCAGUGUCUGAUUUCUCUCUUUCCAGCUUUUUAAUACAAUAGCAGUCACAUUACGUUCUGUGUGACUUUUGUACGUUGUUAGGACUUGAUUUUCUGUCAUUGCUCUGAUACGCUGCUGCUCCUGCAGCCUGUUCUGCUGUUGCUAUCUCCUUCGUUUUGUUCCCUGGGAUUGUUAUUUCUGCAGAUUUUGGGUACCUGCAUUUAUGACAUUUCUUGAGUGCAUUUCAGGGAGUGUCUUUCAAUGCAAGUCAGUGGGGUGAAGUAAUAGUUUGGCAUUUGAUACGAUGAUUUUGGCAGAGUUCUCUGAGCACGAUACCGUAAUAGACUGGAUAGUAAGGAGCAAUGUUGAAGUUUCCUCGUGUGCUAUGAAAUGAUGUUUGUGUGAACUGUGAGAAUCCAGUUUCUCAAGCUGUGCUGAGCUGAAGAUGCUGAGCUUCACCUCCAUUUCUUGUAACUAGAGAGACAAUGUGAGCAAGUGUUUUGGAGAGACUGGAAGUUUAUUCUUGCCUCUGCCACUGAGAUGAGGCUGCUCAACUGGCUUAAUCAAAGCUUUGGGUUUUUUUCUACUGUAUUCCUGAGUGCACUCUUGAAAAAAUGUGUUUUAUUUUAUGUUCAGGUGAGAUCCAAAUGCAAUUGUUUUUCUGGAUGCUGUUGUAGUUCAAAUAAUAAACACCUUACAUUCAUUAUGUAAUAUAUGAAUGCAGUUUCAAGAUGUUUAAUAUUUGAAAAGCCUUCACUGAAUUUACUUCUGUUCUGCUAAACGUAAUGCGUUAUAUUUUUCUGGGAUAAACCUGUAACUCAUCAUCUCCAAGUAAGUACGAGCACUAUCUACUCAUUGCUUAGUGCUCCAUUAGUAUGGUUUGUAAGCAUGGAAAAAUAGCACUCCUAGUUAAAUCAUCCUGCUGUUUCUAUGGAGAUCCGGAACUAUACAUUUACCUGUUAGUUACGCUACCUAACAAUAUAAAUAUAAAUGCAGUAACUACAACUGUAGCUGUCACAGAGAUACUGACUGGGAAUCGUUGAUGCAACAGAAGGGUCCUGCCCCAGUCAGGGCAGGCAGAGACAAAGCAAAUCUCUUCAUCUAGCAGCGCUCAGGACUUCUGGGAGGAAGAUUUUACUCACGUUCAUCCAGUGCCCAAGGCUUUAAGCCUCUUUCAUUGACGUGCUACAGAAGGAAUUCUGAAGGUGAGCUUUUUAAGAAGCGCCCUGUCAGAGGUUGUUUGAACAGUUCUUUGGUAAUCCAAGAAUAUUAAAAGGUACUUCCAGAAACCAACUACUUUUUAAAGUAGUUUGGGUAUGAGAAGGUGCUGCUGCUGAGCGGAGUAAAUGCGUGAGGUAGGGAGCUUGUCUGUUGUGUGUUACAGGCAGUGGAUGUUAAAGAGCACUGAGAGCUUGCAUGCUGUUUCAGUGGCAGGUCCACAAAGAGCUCAUAUAUUCAAAGAUCAAACUAUACAUAUACUGACAGCCUUUCUUCUUGCCUUUUGUCUGAUUUUAGAUAUUUUUAAUUAAAUUAAGGACCUCUCUUGCAGAAGUUACAUAUCGUUCAGACAUUGAGCUAGAUCAGUAGUCUCUCCCAGCAGGCAGGUGGUGCUUCCCGCUGGCAAGCAGCUGCAGUGCCAAGCGGUGUCUGGCUGUGUGAAACAUUGUGCUGCCCACCUAAUUUCCCAAACAUGAAAACCACAGAUUGACACAGCUGCUUUAAUCAGGUGUUAGGGUGGAAGUGUGAUGAUAAGUGUAUUUCCUCUGUGGCUCUGCCAGUGCUUCUUCGUGGAAAAAUACGCCCACUCUGAUUGUAAUAAGGAAGCAUCGUGAAUCGGAAUUACUAUGAAAGCAGAACUGAGUUUAAUUUGGCCGAGAGACAGAGUGCAAUAGUUUUAUACAAAUUGAGAGCUUUCCUGUGAGAGAUUGAGUUACUCCACACUAGAAAACCCCUUAAUUUUUUUCAGUUUAAACAUUUAAAGUGGAUGGUGAAAAAGUGGAGCUCUAGGCAAAUGUACUACUGCUGUGUGAGAUCCAUGGAUAUAGUUUCCUUAAGAACUGUCUCUUGCUGCAUGAAAAUGGGCUUGUUUUCUGUUUUGCAGUUUCUCUCUUGAAAAGGGAUUUUUCAGAGGUGACAGCUUUUCAAUAUUUAUGAAAUAAAAUUGUCUUUAUUUCAAAGUCUGUGAACUCAGAAAAGAGCUCUUUCAAGACUAGAGGAAUAUAUCUGCCUUGUAAUUUUUAUAUUUUACUCUAGUCAGAGGAGUGUUGAAUGCACACACUGCAGUAACGGAUGCUGUGACCUCCUGCGUUAUAUUAGAUUAGCACCCUGAGACCUUGCCAUUGCAUUGCCCUUGUCUGCUAGAGGUGUUGAGUAACUUUGUGAGCAGACAAAUGGAAAUUAAUAGGUUCUAAAUUCGUUUUGACGUGGAUGAGCUGUGUGAUUCAGAGAGGGAGAACUGCAGACAUAAAACAUUCAGGAAAUACAGUGAAGCAGUCAAAAUUUAGAAGCAUAUUUAGAUGUCAACGUCUCUGCCAAGUUUUGAUAACACGUACUGUUGCUGAAAAUGAAAAUGGGCAAGAUUUUCCAUAACUGAAGGUUUGUUGGACACAUUGAGGGCAGGAUUCAGAGCUAACUAGACUUAAUUAGUUGGUUCUAUGUUUGUAGUACAGACAGUGGCAGCUGGACCAAAUGGAGCUGGUGAAACACUGGAGAGUGACACUGAAACUGUACAGAUACUGUGCAGCAAAGGAAUCCUGGAGGCGCGUUUUUAAAGAGAACCACAUCAGAACACUUCUUGGGUAAUCCAAGAACAUUAACAGGUAUUUCCAGAAAGCAGUCACUCUGCAGAUGCAGUGCAGCAGGGGUGAACUUGCCUAUCUGUUCAUGCACACAUCAGUCUGUGUCUUCAGGUAUGAAUUCUCUGCUCUGAGCUUAACAAGUUAUUUCUGUGAAUUGCUUCUCUCUCGUUAUGAAAUUAAUUGAGUAAUAAAGACAUUUUAAGGAGUGGAGACUCCACAUUUUUGCCAAGUGAAAUGUACAGUAGUUAAAUUUCCACAAAAUAUGUUGUUGCACUUUAUCAGGGCAGAUACGCGUUUUGGGCCAACCACUGAAAACUGAAAGAUUUGUUUGGAGAAAAGAUAAAGUAUUCAAACUGGCCCAGUGUUUUCACUGGCAGUGUGAUAAUAAAGAUAACACUGUUGUUAUUGUUAAAGAUAUAUCCAUUUGUGAGUGAAAAAUAAUUCUUGGGGCAGGUAUUCAGAGGGAGAACGUUAUGAAAAAUUGUUCUAUUUUUGUUGUUUGUGGGGGGUGGGGGUUGGUAAUUGGUGACUUUUCUCGUUUGGGUUUGUUUGUUUGGUUGUUUUGGCUUCCUUCCCUCUCUCUGUCUUUCUCCCUUCUUUUUCAAUUCCUGGCACUUAACCCUUCCUAGAGGAGGUUGAUGUGAGAGCACUGUUCUACUCACAACAGCUCCUAUAAUGCUGAUUUCUGUUCUCAGGUACCUCAAGCCAAAGUAUCUUGGGUUUACAGAGGAUCACUACUUUUUAGGAUCAGGAAAGAGCAAGAGCAGUAAGCAGUUGAAAUCAAAUCCUACCUGCAUUCUGAAGACUGACAUUUUAGCACACGGUAUUUUGGUUGUCACGUUUCCCUAGGUAUCACACAACAAACUUGAGGUACUUAAGAGUGUUCUCACUAGACCAUGAGCAAAAAGAGUAUCUGUCCUGCAUAUAUCAGCCUUGGCAGCUUCUGAAAUGAAACUUCCAAUCUGGAGACAGACAUUUUUAUAAUGAUGGUUCAAGGGAGCGGUACUGUAAGUGCAGUCAGCAGGCCAUAGUGAAUUUGUCCAGAUGGAAGGUUUCUUGUGGAUACUUUACACUGUACCACAGUUAGAAGGUAGUUGCAAGUUUAAGUAGUUUCUAAUAGAGCGCUGUUUCCCUAAAAGGAAUCUGUUUAGAUGAAGCAUAUCCUAAAAAUAGAUGAAAACAUUCUUUUGUGGUUUUUGUCUGCUUUUAGCAAAUGACCUAACAAGUGGGAUUCCCCUGAAUAGGGAUCUCCCUGUCUGUAUAGCAGCUAGUAUAAGAUAGCUCACAGAUCAACAUGGCACAGUAUAAAAGUUUAUUAAUUAUUACUAUAGUAUCAUCUGUAUACUUUUCAAAAGCAAUUGAUAUAUUAUAGUGGCAUGGGAUUUCCUCCAUCAAUUCUUUAGAUGUUUUCUAGUCUCAGAGCCACAAGCCUUCUUUCCCUCUGCUUUAUGGCAUCCCUUGCAUCAGCACAAAGGUAGCAUGAAACACCUCCAGAUCCAAAACUCAGCACUAAACUGGCAUUUAGAGCGUGCUGGUGCUAACAAUAGGAUGGUGAUGACUUGUAUGCAAGGGCAGCCUAAAAGCAUUGCUGAAAGAUGGCAAUCCAGGGCUACUGUCAGGCUUUGGCGCAUUGUGAAAAUGCUGCUGAAGUGACAUGGGAGAAGUCUCAUUGCCUGGCAAUGUGUUGUGCAGUCUGUAAUGUUCUGCUAUUUUAUACAGUACAUCAGUGAUAUACUUUACGUAACUUUUUAAAUACAAAAUAUUGCUCUGCACCUGUUUAGUACUGGGAGGAACUUGGAAUAUGUACAAAGAGGUACAGUACUGACAGUGGUGUCUUAUAUACAUUAACUGGGUGUUGUCAUUUGUCCUCAUCAUUUUGUUUUUCUUUCUGUAGCAGUCCCUGCCUCUGAUUCCCCCAGGGUGCGGGAAAUAGAAGUCAUGUUUGGGAGUGGAUUUGGUAAUAAAACAGCAAGCCCAUGCUGCAGCACAGCACAGACAGACCUUCUCUAGCUGAAAUUUCUAAAGCAGCCCAGCAGUAGGCUAGGAACUCAUCACUGGCCCCUGUCCUCCCGGUGAGACCUGCCUGAGCGUUGCGCUGCCUUCUCACCAGCGCAGCUUGUUUAAAGCUGGCCCAGCCACAUCUCUGCGCUGCCACCUGUGGUGACAGCAGUACCCUGGGCUGUCUGCCCUCCUGCUUCUCACAGGGCUGGCUGUGGUAACACGCCACUGUCAGCGAUGGUAACGCCGCCUGGCUCUCUGUGGCUGGCUGAGGCAGGAGGAGGCCACUGUGUGUGACAAGUAUCGAAAAUGGCUUGGGAACAGAGAGAUUUGAUUGACCCGGGAAGAUCAAAAGAACUGCAGGAAUUAACUCUGGCCAAUUACGAUGUGACAUAAACCGUAUAAAGACAUUUAGGGUGGUCUUUUAGGACAAUGAGUUUCAAAUAAGCUGAAGGAAAAUUCUGGCUUAACAUUGGUAAGAAUGCUCUGGCGUGAGCCCAGCACUGUUGAUGUACAUUGGGUUCUUCCUGCAGGUGCACGGCUCACCUUGGAGCCUCCUUGUGCCAGACUUGGUGUGAGCACGCACACAGGUGCCCGCCUGGGGCAAGGCAAAGCAGUGAAGCAGAGACUGGUAUGGAGGAAACUGGUGGGAGAUGGGGAUAGGCAGGAUGAAAUAUUAGGCUGUACAAACUUUGCUUUCUGUGAUUUUGCCUUAGAGUAGGGUGAGUGUGUACACUGCAUGAUGUUUAACUAGCUCACGUUUUUUUUCUCCAAACCCCUGUAAAACAUCAGAAGACUGAAGGCUUUUGUUAAAAUGAAGAGAGCCUGACAACCUGCUGAGAUGUUGCACCUGUGAGCUGGGGGGAAACUGCCACAGGAGGUUUCUGUUCCUUAGAUGCACCAGUACAUCACCAAAAACGCCGGUGCCAAGGAGGAGUUGAGGCCCUGGGUUCUUCUCAAGCAGCCUUUGAGAUCUGGCAAACGCUGCCAGGUGCUGUGCUAUGUACCGAACCUGAAUCUUCCCAGCAGAUGGGGGGCCUAAACUUUAAAGCAUGCAGCUGAGGAUGAAGGCCGUGAUAGCCUGUUUUUCUUCAAAAGCAUGAGAUCACAGCAGCAACACAGAGCUGGAAGACCAAGAGAAGGUUGGGGCCCUGAAACAAACUGGAGGGUAAGACAAAAAGUGCAGCUGACAAACUUGGAGAGCCACUUGAGGAGGAGGAAAAGAUGAGGGGAAGAAGAAGCAACCCACGCAGAGGAUGGGGAGUUGUACUCUAAUCUUGUGUGCUGCAGGAGGAGCAUCCAGCUCCAAAGCUUACACACCAUGGUCAAGACAAAGGAAAAUUCCAGUUCUGAAUUUGCAGCCAGAAUUCAGGAACCAGAGGAGGGAGCUCAGGAGGUUGAACCUUUCAGGACAGCUGUGGAGCUGCAGUGUGACAAAGGACCUGAGGAGAACGUGUUUCAAGGCUGGGAGCAUCCUAGGACAGGCAGGCUGACAAGGCGCUGAUGGAGAGGGUGACCGUGUCACACCACUGCAUGGGCCAGGAGCAUCCUACAGGCAUUUGUUAAAUGCAAACUGAAGAAAAAGGAUUCUGGAUGAAAGUCACAAG